UAUUGAAGAUAAACUUCUUAAUUUUAUAGAUGUGAUUGUGUUUUAGAUCACUCAAAAGUCAAAGAUGAAGAAAGAGAGAAAAAGCAUUUGGAGAAAAAGAAUGAGGAGAGCAAGAACAACUUGGGGGCUGCUGCAGUAAACAGAGAUGAGGACGGUGAAUAUAGGCUCAAAUCACACAAAGAACAAGAACUAGAUAGAGACAGGAAGAUACGGCACAAAGAAAAGAAAGAGCAUGGACUCUCAGCUUCAGAAGGAAAAGAGAAGUAUACAAGACUAAAAAAUCCUGCAUCUUUCAAGGAUUCAGAAGAGCAUGCAACCAGGAGGCAUAAAGACCGUCCUUACUAUGAUGCCGAAGAAAGGCAUGCAUCAAAGAAGCACAGAGACCGGACUGGCUACGAUGCAGAAGAAGAGCAUAAAGCUUACUAUGAAGAUAAACAUCACAGGGAAAGCAGUGAAAGAAGGCACAAAGAAGAAAGUGAAAAAAAGAAGACAGAUAUUAAGCAUAGUGAAUACAAAAGCAAUGGAAAAAGUUCAAAGCAGGAAGAUGAAAUAGACCAUCCACCAGAAAGGUGAAUUAUUUUUAAGUACUUGGGAUGAUUUAGCUACACUCAAUGGUUACUUACUUACCCCUGAAUAAAUGCACAUGUUUUUACCUGCA
rnacentral:lncRNA from 1 species